AAUUUGAUGUCUUUAUGGAUGCAGUGAGCAGAAAAAUCAGCUUAGAUGCUCUAUUAGAAUUUGCUAUAAAUCAAGGUUCACAAUGGAUAUUUAUUACUCCGCAUGACAUCAGCAUGGUGAAGGCUGGGGACAGAGUCAGAAAGCAGCAGAUGCCAGCUCCUCUUUCCUCGUGAUUUGUGCUCAUCACUUGUUGUUGCAAUGAAGGUAUGAACUGAAUCCUUAAAACGGAUUUAACUUGGCAAGUGAAUUUUCAGAUUAGCACAAAUUGCUAUUUUUAGUGUUUUUCUAGCAAUAUCUCAAGUUUUUGUGUGCAGUUUUGUAACAUGAAUGAAAUGUUUCUGUAUAUAGCUGAAGCUCUCAACUUUUUU